AUUGAACGCUGGCGGCAGGCCUAACACAUGCAAGUCGAGCGGAUGAAGGGGGCUUGCUCCUGGAUUCAGCGGCGGACGGGUGAGUAAUGCCUAGGAAUCUGCUUGGUAGUGGGGUAUAACGUCCUGAAACGGGCGCUAAUACCGCAUACGUCCUGAGGGAGAAAGUGGGUGAUCUUCGGACCUCACGCUAUCAGAUGAGCCUAGGUCGGAUUAGCUAGUUGGUGGGGUAAAGGCCUACCAAGGCGACGAUCCGUAACUGGUCUGAGAGGAUGAUCAGUCACACUGGAACUGAGACACGGUCCAGACUCCUAAGGGAGGCAGCAGUGGGGAAUAUUGGACAAUGGGCGAAAGCAUGAUCCAGCCAGGCCGCGUGUGUGAAGAAGGUCUUCGGAUUGUAAAGAACUUUAAGUUGGGAGGAAGGGCAGUAAGUUAAUACCUUGCUGUUUUGACGUUAACAACAGAAUAAGCACCGGCUAACUUCGUG
rnacentral:rRNA from 1 species